CCCGAAUCAAGAAUCACUGUGCACCCCCAUUAGCCCCUUCUGAAGCAAAGCAAAGAGAACCCUAGCCCUAGGAUCCUUGCCGCCGCCGUCCCUAGGUUCUCGGCACAUCCACUUCUUCCUCUUCCCCCUGUCCGGAACCCAGGUAGCUCGGCUCGUCAUCCCCAUCUUCCCUGUCUUCUCUGUUUGUGGCUUGGAGCAGCUCGCCGUUGGUUUGCCGCUUGCCGUCGCCUCGCCUAUCGUCGUCGUCUCGUUGAUUGCCAUCCGUGUCUCCGUCGAAGGUUCAGUGUUGGCUUCAACUUUCAAAUGGGAAUUGGGAGCUGGUGAAGAUAAUAGCAUCUUUUAGAAUUGAGUCUGUUGUUUCACUUCCUAAUGGGAAAGUAAGAUAUGAUCUAGAAUUACCAUAGUACACAGUGAUGUCUGUUCCAUCUAGCUGGACUCAGUGAGACAACUG